AUUGAACGCUGGCGGCAGGCUUAACACAUGCAAGUCGAACGAGUGGCGGACGGGUGAGUAAUGCUUGGGAAUCUAGCUUAUGGAGGGGGAUAACUACGGGAAACUGUAGCUAAUACCGCGUACCAUAGGAUGAGCCCAAGUGGGAUUAGGUAGUUGGUGAGGUAAAGGCUCACCAAGCCGACGAUCUCUAGCUGGUCUGAGAGGAUGACCGGCCACACUGGGACAGAGACACGGCCCCGACCCCUCCGGCAGGCAGCAGGGGGGAAUAUUGCGGAAUGGGGGCAACCUGACGCAGCCAUGCCGCGUGAAUUAAGAAGGCCUUCGGGUGGUAAAGUUCUUUCUGUAGCGAGGCGGUAACUACAGAAGAAGCACCGGCUAACUCCGUGCCAGCCGCCGCGGUAAUAC
rnacentral:rRNA from 1 species